rnacentral:rRNA from 1 species
GACAGAGGUGCCAAGCGUUAGGCGGAAUCACUGGGCUUAAAGCGUGUGUAGGCGGGUCGUUAAGUACCUUGUGAAAUCCCACGGCUCAACCGUGGAACUGCUCGGUAUACUGGCGAUCUUGAGCCACUUAGGGGCUACCGGAACAAAUGGUGGAGCGGUGAAAUGCGUAGAUAUCUGGAGGAACACCGGUGGCGAAGGCGGCAUCCUGGACCGGCAUUGACGCUGAGGCGCGAAAGCUAGGGGAGCAAACGGG